CUGACAGACCUGCAGAGCACAGUCCUGCAGUCACCUGGAACCAGAACAGGCAAAUGCAGCCAUGCACACAUCCCCACAUCCGCCCAAUAUGUCUUGACCCUACUCUGAAGGAAUUGCCACUGCUGGAAAAGAGAUAGUUUGGUCUUCAUGCCCAUUUAAUCCCUCACCUGC
rnacentral:sRNA from 1 species